GUUUACUAGGUGUAAGAUGCAUUUUAUAUUUUCAAUGUAAAGGUUUAAGUAAAUU
rnacentral:tRNA from 1 species